rnacentral:rRNA from 1 species
AUUGAACGCUGGCGGCAGGCCUAACACAUGCAAGUCGAACGGUAACAGGAAGAAGCUUGCUUCUUUGCUGACGAGUGGCGGACGUGUGUGUCAUGUCUGGGAAACUGCCUGAUGGAGGGGGAUAACUACUGGAAACGGUAGCUAAUACCGCAUAACGUCGCAAGCCCAAAGAGGGGGACCUUCGGGCCUCUUGCCAUCGGCUGUGCCCAGAUGGGAUUAGCUAGUAGGUGGGGUAACGGCUCACCUAGGCGACGAUCCCUAGCUGGUCUGAGAGGAUGACCAGCCACACUGGAACUGAGACACGGUCCAGACUCCUACGGGAGGCAGCAGUGGGGAAUAUUGCACAAUGGGCGAAAGCCUGAUGCAGCCAUGCCGCGUGUAUGAAGAAGGCCUUCGGGUUGUAAAGUACUUUCAGCGGGGAGGAAGGGAGUAAAGUUAAUACCUUCGCUCAUUGACGUUACCCGCAGAAGAAGCACCGGCUAACUCCGUG